rnacentral:rRNA from 1 species
GACGAACGCUGGCGGCGUGCCUAAUACAUGCAAGUAGAACGCUGAAGGAGGAGCUUGCUUCUCUGGAUGAGUUGCGCACGGGUGAGUAACGCGUAGGUAACCUGCCUGGUAGCGGGGGAUAACUAUUGGAAACGAUAGCUAAUACCGCAUAAGAGUAGAUGUUGCAUGACAUUUGCUUAAAAGGUGCAAUUGCAUCACUACCAGAUGGACCUGCGUUGUAUUAGCUAGUUGGUGGGGUAACGGCUCACCAAGGCGACGAUACAUAGCCGACCUGAGAGGGUGAUCGGCCACACUGGGACUGAGACACGGCCCAGACUCCUACGGGAUGCAGCAGUAGGGAAACUUCGGCAAUGGACGGAAGUCUGACCGAGCAACGCGGCGUGAGUGAAGAAGGUUUUCGGAUCGUAAAGCUCGGUUGUAAGAGAAGAACGAGUGUGAGAGUGGAAAGUUCACACUGUGACGGUAGCUGAACAGAAAGGGACGGCUAACUACGUG